rnacentral:rRNA from 1 species
GAUCCUGGCUCAGGAUGAACGCUAGCGGCAGGCUUAACACAUGCAAGUCGAGGGGCAGCGAGAUCAAAGCUUGCUUUGAUUGUCGGCGACCGGCGCACGGGUGCGUAACGCGUAUGCAACCUACCCACUACAGGGGGAUAACACUGAGAAAUCGGUACUAAUACCCCAUAAUAUCUUGAAAGGACAUCUUUCGUAGGUUGGUAAACUAACCGGUCGGGUAGGUGGAGUGGGCGAUGCGUUGUAUUAGU